GAUGAACGCUGGCGGCGUGCCUAAUACAUGCAAGUAGAACGCUGAAGGAGGAGCUUGCUCUUCUGGAUGAGUUGCGAACGGGUGAGUAACGCGUAGGUAACCUGCCUGGUAGCGGGGGAUAACUAUUGGAAACGAUAGCUAAUACCGCAUAACAACAGUUAUUGCAUGAUAACGGUUGAAAAGUGGCAACUGCUCCACUACCAGAUGGACCUGCGUUGGAUUGGCUAGUUGGUGAGGUAACGGCACACCAUGGCGAGGAUACAGAUCAGACAGGAGAGGGGGAGCAGCCGGACUGAGAGGGUGACACGGCACAGACUCACACGGGAGGCAGCAGUAGGGAUACGGCGGCCAGCGGCGGAAGUCUGUCCGAGCAACGCCGCGUGCGUGAGGAGGGUUGUCGGGUGGGGGAGCUCUGCUGUAAGGGAGGAACGAGCGUGAGCGUGGAAAGUUCACAGUGUGACGGUAACUUAUCAGAAAGCAACGGCUAACUACGUG
rnacentral:rRNA from 1 species